rnacentral:lncRNA from 1 species
AGUUUUUUUCCCUGCCAGAGCAAGGAAGAGACAUUUGUGGGAUAUUUUGGCUGGUGGGUAGGUAAGGGAGAACCAAACACUCUGGACUGCCUCUGAGUAAACCAUGGAAGUGGGUUUUAUACAGUUCUGGACAAAUCAAUUAAGAGAAAUAUCUUUGGAUUAGACUGGGCUGCUACCUUGAUCCUUAUCCCAGAAGAGCAAUAAUUUCCCAGGAUCAGCUGACAUGCACCAAAGGGACUCUAUUCCACUACCAUUUAAAAGAAACCUUCCAUAUGUUACCCUUUCGUCCUAUCUUAAAGAAACACUCCAAAGCUAAACCUUACAGAGCCAAACCAAGAAUUUAGCAAGUUAGAUCUGAUGUGAAGAUUUUAAAAAAUAUUAAACAUUUUUCUUUCUUUGUAGGAACACAUUUCCUACGAUCAUAUUCAAGACCAAAGAGUAGACUCUGUCUAGAGGGGCGGGGUAGAAAUCGAAUAAUAAAUAAAAUAAAACUAUUUUAAGGCAUGCGUUAGCAGUAUUCUCAGUCCACCUGCAACUGAUCUCUAGCAAAGCUUGCCUUGGCCCAGAGUGGCUUUGGCCAGAUGGGGGGGGGCAUAAUAAUCAAUCAAUCAAUCAAUCAAUCAAUCAAUCAAUCAAUCUGCAGAACAGCUCUUUCUGAAAGCAUAGGUUGCUCAAGGGGGUGAAGAGCUUACACAGAAAAGCAUUCAGUUUCAGCAUGCCGAAAAUCCAUGUUUGCAUUGAACCGCUUGCCCCUUGCAAAGUUCAUCUUGCUGGCUUUAAUUGCUGCCUACUGGAGACGGCAACCCACCACAGGAAAAUCUACAAGCAAGCCAGAUUCAUUUCUCCAGAAUCUGCCACUCAAGAGGUGGACUGCCCCGGAAUAUGGAGGCUCUCUUGUUAAUUACUGUGGCUAACGCUUGCUCCGUCCCUUUCCCUCUCCUCUCUGAAUUUGUAAAACUACUUUAAGGGCUAUCUUUAAACUGGUACAAGUUGUACAAGGUGAUUAAUUAUACAGGCAGAGUUAAAAAGGGCAACCGGUUUGGGCUGCCGCGAGGGGGCUGUUCCAUCCAUCUUGUCUGAGCCGUAGGAGUCAAGCCGACACGCACCUUUUUCCUGUUGCAAUAUAAGUUUUGCCCGCAUUUGUUCCGGUGGCAGGAAGCUGCCACGGGGCAAUUUGCCACCACAUCAGUCACGUGGGCAAGGCAAAGACAUAGACUGGCCACCUAGGUCUGUCAGCUUUGGGUGACCACUUAUGCAUCAUCAAAAAGAGGACAUGCCUCCCCUGGGAGAGAGAGAGAGAGAGAGAGAGAGAGAGAGAGAGAGAGGAUGCAGAUUGUGCAAAACGUUACAUAUAGCUGUAAAACUGAAGGUGGCUUUUUGAAAAAGAAUUUAAACAGAAUUACAAUACAGUAUACCGUAUUUUUCUGUGUAUAAGACGCCCCUAUGUAUAAGACACCCAGUCCAAAAUUAAGAAAUCUAAGUGGGGCUUAGCAAGUGCAAGGGGAAAGGGAAUCAAAGCCCUGCAGGAUCGCUUCGAUCCCUGCUUUCCCCUCCACUUAUUUUUGUUAUUUCACAGCUUACCUCCGCGUAUAAGGCGACCCUCAAUUUUUACUCUAAAUAUUUUAGACAAAAGUGUAGUCUUAUACACAGAAAAAUACAGUAGCUCACUGAGUCAGAAAGUCUUGUGACUGGGUGUGCUGGCAGCUUCAUGUCUAACUAUCCACCUGGACUGUGGAUGAUGGGCAAUUUCAAAGUCCCUGAUCUGCCUCCUUCUGUAUCUUUAAGAACAGAUUUCGACUUGCUUCCAAAGGAGGCCUGCCCUCUGUAAAAAAAGGUAACAAGGCCACCAUCUUUCAGCUUACUGGGCCUUUCUGUCUUGCUGGUUU